rnacentral:rRNA from 1 species
GGAGGGUGCAAACGUUGCUCGGAAUUAUUGGGCGUAAAGCGCACGUAGGCGGUUUUUUAAGUCGGAUGUGAAAGCCCCGGGCUCAACCCGGGAAGUGCAUUCGAAACUGGAAGGCUAGAGUACAGAAGAGGGUCUCGGAAUUCCCGGUGUAGAGGUGAAAUUCGUAGAUAUCGGGAGGAACACCAGUGGCGAAGGCGGAGACCUGGGCCGAUACUGACGCUGAGGUGCGAAAGCCUGGGGAGCAAACAGGAUUAGAUACCCUGGUAGUCCACGCCGUAAACGAUGAGUGCUAGGCGUAGGGGGUAUUGACCCCUCCAGUGCCGCAGCUAACGCGAUAAGCACUCCGCCUGGGGAGUACGGCCGCAAGGCUA